UAGCCGUUGCAUUAUCGGUUCUUUAGCCUGUAGAAUCCCUCUCCAUUUCCCGCAACAAUGUUGCUUCUUCCUUCUCUGCCUUCAUCUUCUUCCUCGUGUUUUUCCAUUCUUGAAUCCAGCCCCCGUCCUCUGCUUCAAUUUCACCCCCCUCCCCGCCGGAUCUUCCAUUUCCGCCCAUAUGCUCUCAAUCCAACCACCGCCCUCGAUUCCUUCACUCAGAACUCUGGUUACCUCUUCCGUCUAACCGCACGGGAGGCUGAGUCCUUGGAAGAUUACAGCGUCUCCAAGAUUGCCGCUAUUUAUCGGAGGAAGCCGCUCCUUGUUCUUCGGAGACUUCUUCAGGUCGCCUCCACUUUUGGCCGAUGGCUAGCUCUUCGAUUCAUUGAUGAUUUGAGGGAAAGGUCGGACCUCAUGUUCGAGGUCAGAGCUGCAGAACUUAGGAAUAUAUUGGUGGAGCUUGGUCCGGCAUACAUCAAAAUUGCUCAGGCUAUCUCAUCUCGACCCGCCUAAGGUUUGAUCUCAAUAAGCACAUAAGGAAGCUUGAGGAGGGAGAUUUGGAAGGAGAGAUUUAAAGAUUUUUGUUCUUCUUUCAUGUAUCCCCCACAUUACAACUGAAAGAAGAAGAAACCCAUAUGGACUUGAAUCAACUUUCUUCCUAUAGAAGGUGGUCAAACAAUGCAAUCUAUGGUACCAACUAGAAGGUGGUCAAACCAUGCAAAUGUGAUAACGAGAGAGGAAUAAUCAACUUGUUCUUCACAUCUGAACAAUGAACACACCUUCAAAUCAAAUGCUAAAGAUUUGAUACCACCUUCUUAUUUGGAUGAGCUUUCAUUUUUACAAGACCAAAUAGCUCCGUUCUCAUCUGAACUGGCUUUUAAUACGAUAGAACGAGAACUGAAUAUACCUCUGGACGAGCUUUUCUCUGAGAUAUCACCACAGCCGACUGCUGCAGCAUCUCUUGGACAGGUUUUUAUCUAUCAGCAUUGUUGUGUCGUUU